AACGCGAAGAACCUUACCAACCCUUGACAUCGAGAUCGCGGUUACCAGAGAUGGUUUCCUUCAGUUCGCCUGGAUCUCAGACAGGUGCUGCAUGGCUGUCGUCAGCUCGUGUCGUGAGAUGUUCGGUUAAGUCCGGCAACGAGCGCAACCCACACUCUUAGUUGCCAGCAUUCAGUUGGGCACUCUAGGAGAACUGCCGGUGAUAAGCCGGAGGAAGGUGUGGAUGACGUCAAGUCCUCAUGGCCCUUACGGGUUGGGCUACACACGUGCUACAAUGGUGGUGACAAUGGGUUAAUCCCAAAAAGCCAUCUCAGUUCGGAUUGGGGUCUGCAACUCGACCCCAUGAAGUCGGAAUCGCUAGUAAUCGCGUAACAGCAUGACGCGGUGAAUACGUUCCCGGGUCUUGUACACACCG
rnacentral:rRNA from 1 species